GUGGGGAAUUUUGGACAAUGGGCGCAAGCCUGAUCCAGCAAUGCCGCGUGCAGGAAGAAGGCCUUCGGGUUGUAAACUGCUUUUGUACGGAACGAAACGGUCCUGGUUAAUACCUGGGGCUAAUGACGGUACCGUAAGAAUAAGCACCGGCUAACUACGUGCCAGCAGCCGCGGUAAUACGUAGGGUGCGAGCGUUAAUCGGAAUUACUGGGCGUAAAGCGUGCGCAGGCGGUGCUGUAAGACAGGCGUGAAAUCCCCGGGCUCAACCUGGGAAUUGCGCUUGUGACUGCAGUGCUGGAGUACGGCAGAGGGGGAUGGAAUUCCGCGUGUAGCAGUGAAAUGCGUAGAUAUGCGGAGGAACACCGAUGGCGAAGGCAGUCCCCUGGGCCUGUACUGACGCUCAUGCACGAAAGCGUGGGGAGCAAACAGGAUUAGAAACCCCAGUAGUCC
rnacentral:rRNA from 1 species